CAUAUUUACUUAUCAAACAACAGAAUGUCACUGUUUAUAUCCUUAAGAUAUAUUUUCCUUCGAAAUUCAGAGAAAAAUUGAUUGUUAAUGGCAAUUUCACCACUAAAAUGUCUGAAAGUUUAUGUGUUUGCUAUUAGAAAUUGUUGUGUGUUUUUUGUUAUUAUCUCCCUUGGUCAAAGGUCUUGUAGGCUAUUGCCAUCAUUUAGAAUUAAUGUCAAAAAGUCCACUUAACAUACUUUUGAAGUGGUUUUCUUUUUUGAUAUGAAUGCAUUCCAUUUGAGUAGUUUUACUGCAUUUGGAUGGUUGGUUGAAAAUAACAUAUAAAUCUCAUGUUUAAUAUUUCCAGAUUGUUUUUUUUAGCAGAAUUAUUCAUUAAAUACCCUUUUUGUGCAUUGCCAAUAGUAUCAAGAGAAAUAUGACUCACAUCCCAAUACCAACCUGACAAAUGAACUUCCAGUAACAUUAUUGGUAAUGAUAAUAAAAUGCUCCGCUGGGCGCAGCUUGAUACGACCGCAGAGGUCGAACCCUGAACAGUUGGGGCAAGUAUAUAUAUGGACACAACAUUCAAGCUUGAUACAGCACUGAAUUUGGAUUGUGAUUAAAUAUUUGACACAGCACAGGUUUCUGACACAGAAUGAAUGUGGUCUAAUGUUGUGCCACGAUUAUUUACAGUAUUCUUUUAAUAAUAACCUUCAUUCAUUGCUUUUCAUUUGUAUUUCCCGGUGUAUAUUUUCCGCGAAACUAGGUCAUACAUAUUUUCACUUUUGUACACUUGCUUGUUAUGCGGAAUGAUUUUCUAUAGUUACAACAUAAUUACCUUAUUCAGAAGUUAUUAAUGCAUCCUAUUUUAUCCAUAGUUAUCCUUUUAUAAUGUUAGAAUUAUCCAAAAUCAUACUUGUCAAGUUAAAGGCAUUUUGGUUUACUUUCACAAUUGUGUACAAGCGUACUAUUUUUAGGUGUAUUGACUAACUUGAUCUUUCAAACGUUUAGAGAAAAGUAUAGUCAGUUUCAAAUUAUAGCCGCUGGCGAACAGCUGAGUUUCAGACAGUGACCCAGAAUUAUUUAUUCAGGUAUUUUGGCACACACUGCAAUUCUAUUUAAUUGAUUUAUUAAUAACUAUUGUUAAUGAUAUUAGCUUUUAAUAAAGCUGCUUUUAUUUAUUUAAACAAAUCUUAUUUCUUGAUUAUCCAAAGUUUGGACUUCAAAACAGUUUUAUUACUUUGACUUUAAUUGAUAUUUGUAUAAUAUCUGCCAAACCAUUUACAAUAACGGUUGGCGCUUCAAUUGGUGGCAGCGGUAAAAACAUCAUUUAAAAAAAAAAAAAAAAAAGGAAGGAAAAAAGUAAUACAUAAAAAAAAAAAAACAACAUACAAAUCAGCUUAUAUUGAAACUCAAAGUGUGGUUUACAUAUAAAAUUAUUGAACACCAAGAGUUAUUGAAAUUCAAGGUGUAUUUUUCCAUAUAAAAUAUUGAACACCAAGAAUUAUUGAAAUUCAAGGUGUAUUUUUCCAUAUAAAUUAUUGAACACCAAGAGUUAUUGAAAUUCAAGGUGUAUUUUUUCCUUAUAAACUAUUGAGCACCAAGAGUUAUUGAAAUUCAAGGUGUAUUUUUUCCUUAUAAAUUAUUGAGCACCAAGAGUUAUUGAAAUUCAAGGUGUAUUUUUUCCUUAUAAAUUAUUGAGCACCAAGAGUUAUUGAAAUUCAAGGUGUAUUUUUUCCUUAUAAACUAUAGAACACCAAGAGUUAUUGAAACUCAAGGUGUAUAAUUCCAUAUAAAAUAAUUGAACACUAAGAGUUACUGAAACACAAAGUGUAUUUUUCUAAAAAUAUUUUAAUAACAUUAAAGGUAA